rnacentral:rRNA from 1 species
AUGGCCGUACCAUGCUGAAUAUACCGGUUCUCGUUAGAUCACUGAAGUCAAGCAUCAUUGGGUGCGGUCAGUACUUGGGUGGGGGACCAGCUGGGAACACCGCGUGCCGUU